rnacentral:rRNA from 2 species
UUUGAAAUCUGGCGGUCUCAGGCCGUCCGAGUUGUAAUCUAGAGAGGUGUUUUCCGUGCCGGACCGCGUACAAGUCCCUUGGAACAGGGCGUCAUAGAGGGUGAGAAUCCCGUCCGUGACGCGGACUUCCGGUGCUCUGUGAUACACCUUCAAAGAGUCGAGUUGUUUGGGAAUGCAGCUCAAAAUGGGUGGUAAAUUCCAUCUAAAGCUAAAUACAGGCGAGAGACCGAUAGCGAACAAGUACCGUGAGGGAAAGAUGAAAAGAACUUUGGAAAGAGAGUUAAACAGUACGUGAAAUUGUUGAAAGGGAAACGCUUGAAGUCAGUCGCGUCUGCCGGGACUCAGCCUUGCUUCUGCUUGGUGCACUUCCCGGUAGAUGGGCCAGCGUCGAUUUUGGUCGCCGGAAAAGGGUGGGAGGAAUGUGGCAGCUUGCUGUGUUAUAGCCUUCUAUCGUACACGGUGACUGGGAUCGAGGAC